GGGUAGUUUGACUGGGGCGGUCUCCUCCUAAAGAGUAACGGAGGAGCACGAAGGUUGGCUAAUCCUGGUCGGACAUCAGGAGGUUAGUGCAAUGGCAUAAGCCAGCUUGACUGCGAGCGUGACGGCGCGAGCAGGUGCGAAAGCAGGUCAUAGUGAUCCGGUGGUUCUGAAUGGAAGGGCCAUCGCUCAACGGAUAAAAGGUACUCCGGGGAUAACAGGCUGAUACCGCCCAAGAGUUCAUAUCGACGGCGGUGUUUGGCACCUCGAUGUCGGCUCAUCACAUCCUGGGGCUGAAGUAGGUCCCAAGGGUAUGGCUGUUCGCCAUUUAAAGUGGUACGCGAGCUGGGUUUAGAACGUCGUGAGACAGUUCGGUCCCUAUCUGCCGUGGGCGCUGGAGAACUGAGGGGGGCUGCUCCUAGUACGAGAGGACCGGAGUGGACGCAUCACUGGUGUUCGGGUUGUCAUGCCAAUGGCACUGCCCGGUAGCUAAAUGCGGAAGAGAUAAGUGCUGAAAGCAUCUAAGCACGAAACUUGCCCCGAGAUGAGUUCUCCCUGAGACUUUAAGUCUCCUGAAGGAACGUUGAAGACGACGACGUUGAUAGGCCGGGUGUGUAAGCGCAGCGAUGCGUUGAGCUAACCGGUACUAAUGAACCGUGAGG
rnacentral:rRNA from 1 species